AGUUUGAUCAUGGCUCAGGACGAACGCUGGCGGUGUGCCUCACACAUACAAGUCGAGCGGACGAAGAUUGAAGCUUGCUUCAGUCCAAGUUAGCGGCGGACGGGUGAGUAACACGUAGGAAUCUGCCUUCAGGCGGGGGACAACGGAACGAAAGUUGCGCUAAUACCCCAUAUGCGAGUAAUCGUAAAAGGAGCAAUCCACCGGAAGAUGAGCCUGCGUCCGAUUAGCUAGUUGGUAGGGUAAAAGCCUACCAAGGCUACGAUCGGUAGUUGGUCUGAGAGGAUGAUCAGCCACAAUGGAACUGAGACACGGUCCAUACUCCUACGGGAGGCAGCAGUGGGGAAUUUUACGCAAUGGGCGAAAGCCUGACGUAGCGACACCGCGUGAGCGAAGAAGCCUUUUGGGGUGUAAAGCUCUGUCAGCUGGAACGAACACAAUGACGGUACCAGCAGAGGAAGCAUCGGCUAACUACGUG
rnacentral:rRNA from 1 species